GACUCGGUACUCUAGUGGUUACGACUGCGGCUUGCAACGCCUUCGGCGCAGGUUCGAUCCCGUUUGACG